UCGAGAGGCUUCGGCAAUGGGGGAAACCCUGACCGAGCGACGCCGCGUGGGUGAUGAAGAUUCUCGGAUCGUAAAACCCUGUCAGGUGGGAUGAAAAACCAUUCGGUUAAUACCCGAGUGGCUUGACAGUACCACCAGAGGAAGCUCCGGCCAACUCCGUGCCAGCAGCCGCGGUAACACGGGGGGAGCAAGCGUUGUUCGGAUUCAUUGGGCGUAAAGAGCUCGUAGGCGGUUCGGUAAGUCGGGUGUGAAAACUUUGGGCUCAACCCAAAGCCUGCACCCGAUACUGCUGUGACUAGAGUUCGGUAGGGGAGCGGGGAAUUCCUAGUGUAGCGGUGAAAUGCGCAGAUAUUAGGAGGAACACCGGUGGCGAAGGCGCCGCUCUGGGCCGAUACUGACGCUGAGGAGCGAAAGCGUGGGUAGCAAACAGGAUUAGAUACCCGUGUAGUCCCUGAGCGGGCUGGCAAGGCGCAU
rnacentral:rRNA from 1 species